CAAAAUCCUGCUGUUUAAGUAUACCUGGUGAUUACAAUUCUGGUCUUAAUGUACAACCUAACCCUAAAAUGAAAUCUAAAUAACCCAACAUUGUGAAAACUUUAUGUUAUAGGAAAUGCAAACAUAUUUUUUACUACAGAGAGAGUGCUUUUACAGCAUUUUUUUCCACAAGAAGAAUGAAAAAAGAAUCUUCCUCUUAGGUUAGCAAGCAUGAAAAGAGGAGGACUGUUUCUACACUGAAGCUUGUCAUUAUACCAGCAGUAUCUAAGCUAUACCAGAGAGGCGCUGAAGUUAUACUAGAAAGGACCUAAUGAAAUGUUGAUCCUGAUUCCUCAGGGGUGAGUGCAGUUGU
rnacentral:lncRNA from 1 species